GCCCCAGUAACGGCGAGUGAAGCGGCAAAAGCUCAAAUUUGAAAUCUGGAGCCUUCGGCUUCCGAGUUGUAAUUUGCAGAGGGAGCCUCGGAGGGCGGGUCGGUCCAAGUUCCUUGGAAGAGGAUACCGCAGAGGGUGAGAGUCCCGUAUGCGGCCGACUGCGCGCUCCGUGUGAGGCCCCUUCGACGAGUCGAGUUGUUUGGGAAUGCAGCUCCAAGCGGGUGGUAAAUUCCAUCUAAAGCUAAAUACCGGCCAGAGACCGAUAGCGAACAAGUAGAGUGAUCGAAAGAUGAAAAGCACUUUGAAAAGAGAGUGAAACAGUACGUGAAAUUGUUGAAAGGGAAGCGCAUGGGGGCAGACUUGGGCGCGGGGUUCAGCGUUUCUGUUUGGAGCGUGUACUUCCCCGCGUGCAGGCCAGCAUCGGUUCCGGGGGCCGGACAAAGGCGACGGGAAUGUGGCUCCCCUCGGGGAGUGUUAUAGCCCGGCGUGCAAUGCGGCCACCUGGGACCGAGGACCGCGCCUUGUGCAAGGAUGCUGGCGUAAUGGCCUCAUGCGGCCCGUCUUGAAACACGGACCAAGGAGUCUAACAUCUAUGCGAGUGUUUGGGUGUGAAGCCCGGGCGCGCAAUGAAAGUGAACGGAGGUGGGAGUCGUGUUUUUGCGACGCACCAUCGACCGAUCCGGACGUCUUCUGAAGGAUUUGAGUAAGAGCAUAGCUGUUGGGACCCGAAAGAUGGUGAACUAUGCGUGAAUAGGGUGAAGCCAGAGGAAACUCUGGUGGAGGCUCGCAGCGGUUCUGACGUGCAAAUCGAUCGUCAAAUUUGCGUAUAGGGGCGAAAGACUAAUCGAACCAUCUAGUAGCUGGUUCCUGCCGAAGUUUCCCUCAGGAUAGCAGUAACGCAUGGCAGUUUUAUGAGGUAAAGCGAACGAUUAGGGAGCUAGGGGUUGAAACAACCUUUAUCCAUUCUCGAACUUUAAAUAUGUAAGAAGUCCUUGUUGCUUUGUUGAACGUGGACACU
rnacentral:rRNA from 1 species